rnacentral:piRNA from 1 species
UUAUAGAUAGUUGGAAGCUAUCAGGUAGGU